AUGGGUAUCAGGGGUUUGAUGAAGUUGAUUUCGGAAGAGGCUCCAGAUGCGAAGAAGAAGUGGGAUUUAAGACAUUACUCUGGAAAAACUAUUGCCAUUGACACAAGCAUCUGCAUUCAUCAGUUUCUGGCUGUAAAUGGAGAGAUGAAAAAUCAUAACGGUCAACAAACAGGCCAUAUUCUAGGCUUACUUCAGCGAACUGCUAAAUUUUUAGAGGCUGGAAUCUAUCCAGUAUACGUUCUUGAAGGAAAACCUCCUAAAAUGAAGAAGGGAACACUUGAUGAAAGAAAAUUAAAGAGACAAUUAAAGAAACAGACUGCAGAACAUGAACCCAGAGGCAUUGCUGGGCUUCAGGCAGCUGAAGAUAUCAGGAGGACUAGUUCUGACUCUAGCGUUUCUCCACUAACAAAGAAACCAAGGGUUGACGUUGCUUCACGAGCCCACGUCAACGACAAAGAUGUACUUGAGGAUCCAAGUAAAGCUGCAAAGAUGAAAGAAUUGAUAGAAGGGACAACGAUGCUCACAAACACACACUCAAAUGAUUGUAAAAGGUUGUUUGUACUUAUCGGUGUUCCUGUCGUACAGGCUCCCGGUGAAGCAGAAGCCCAGUGCGUCCAGUUAUGCAAAGAGAGCAAGGCGCAUGCUGUUGCCUCGGAAGACUCGGACUGUCUUCCGCUCGGGGCGCCAUUACUUCUUCCGUUCUUCGGAACUUUAAGGCUGAUGGAUUUGUGGAGGAAUACAAUACCACCAAGGUGUUAA
rnacentral:rRNA from 1 species